GAUGAACGCUGACAGAAUGCUUAACACAUGCAAGUCUUUGGCGAAGCUGUGCUUGCACAGCCUAGCCAAGGCGGACGGGUGAGUAACGCGUAAGGGACUUGCCCUGCAGUCAGGGAUAACAGAUGGAAACGACUGAUAAAACCUGGUAAAGUCAGGCGGACUCAUGUCCAGCCUGAUGAAAAGGAAUGCUGCAGGAGAGCCUUGCGUCCUAUUAGCUCGUUGGUGGGGUAACGGCCCACCAAGGCGAUGAUAGGUAGCCGGCCUGAGAGGGUGGACGGCCACAAGGGGACUGAGAUACGGCCCUUACUCCUACGGGAGGCAGCAGUGGGGAAUAUUGGACAAUGGGGGCAACCCUGAUCCAGCAAUUCUGUGUGCACGAUGAAGGUCUUCGGAUUGUAAAGUGCUUUCAGCAGGGAAGAAAAAAAUGACGGUACCUGCAGAAGAAGCGACGGCUAAAUACGUGCCAGCAGCCGCGGUAAUACGUAUGUCGCGAGCGUUAUCCGGAAUUAUUGGGCAUAAAGGGCAUCUAGGCGGCCCUGUAAGUCUAGGGUGAAAACCUGCGGCUCAACCGCAGGCCUGCCCCGGAAACUACAGGGCUAGAGUGCUGGAGAGGUGGACGGAACUGCACGAGUAGAGGUGAAAUUCGUAGAUAUGUGCAGGAAUGCCGAUGAUGAAGAUAGUUCACUGGACGGCAACUGACGCUGAAGUGCGAAAGCUAGGGGAGCAAACAGG
rnacentral:rRNA from 1 species